rnacentral:rRNA from 1 species
UACGGGGGGAGCAAGCGUUGUUCGGAUUUACUGGGCGUAAGGGGCGCGUAGGCGGCCAGCACAAGUCAGUUGUGAAAUCUCCGAGCUUAACUCGGAAAGGUCAACUGAUACUGUGCGGCUAGAGUGCGGAAGGGGCAACUGGAAUUCUUGGUGUAGCGGUGAAAUGCGUAGAUAUCAAGAGGAACACCUGUGGCGAAGGCGCCUUGCUGGCCGAUUUCUGACGCUGAGGCGCGAAAGCGUGGGGAGCAAACAGG